rnacentral:rRNA from 1 species
CCUACGGGAGGCAGCAGUGAGGAAUAUUGGUCAAUGGACGAGAGUCUGAACCAGCCAAGUAGCGUGAAGGAUGACUGCCCUAUGGGUUGUAAACUUCUUUUAUAUGGGAAUAAAAUGUUCCACGUGUGGGAUUUUGUAUGUACCAUAUGAAUAAGGAUCGGCUAACUCCGUGCCAGCAGCCGCGGUAAUACGGAGGAUCCGAGCGUUAUCCGGAUUUAUUGGGUUUAAAGGGAGCGUAGGUGGAUUGUUAAGUCAGUUGUGAAAGUUUGCGGCUCAACCGUAAAAUUGCAGUUGAAACUGGCAGUCUUGAGUACAGUAGAGGUGGGCGGAAUUCGUGGUGUAGCGGUGAAAUGCUUAGAGAUCACGAAGAACUCCGAUUGCGAAGGCAGUUCACUGGACUGCACCUGACACUGAGGCUCGAACGUGUGGGUAUCAAACAGGAUUAGAUACCCUUGUAGUC